rnacentral:rRNA from 1 species
GUACACGCUGUGACUAGCAUAUCAAUAAGCGGAGGAAAAGGGUACCUACGCUUAGGAUGUUGACGAGACUGUCGAUCUCAUCUAUACAUGACUCUGUGCAUAUCAAUAAGCGGAGGAAAAGCGCAUUGAAGAUCCAGAUACCUACGCUUAGGAUGUUGACGAGACUGUCGAUCUCAUCUAUACAUGACUCUGUGCAUAUCAAUAAGCGGAGGAAAAGAAACUAACAAGGAUUCCCCUAGUAACGGCGAGUGAAGCGGGAAGAGCUCAAAUUUGAAAUCUUAAAGGGUUUCCCUUUACGAAUUGUAGUUUAAAGAAGUGUUUUCUGUUGAGGUUUUGGUAAAAGUUCUUUGGAAUAGGACAUCAUAGAGGGUGAGAAUCCCGUAUUUGACCUUUACUUUCAACUUUGUGAUACACUUUCAAAGAGUCGGAUUGUUUGGGAAUGCAGUCCAAAAUGGGUGGUAAAUUUCAUCUAAAGCUAAAUAUUGGCGAGAGACCGAUAGCGAACAAGUACCGUGAGGGAAAGAUGAAAAGAACUUUGAAAAGAGAGUUAAACAGUACGUGAAAUUGUCAAAAGGGAAGCGUUUGACACCAGUGUUGUUUUUCUGAAAAUCAAUUAAAGAACUGUUUAUGCUAAGCUGUUUAGACUUUAUCAGCUAUCUGUUUAGUUUUGAGCUUUUCUUUAAUGCACUUUUCAGUUAACAAGUCAACAUCAAUUUCUUUUGCUGUAAAAAAGCUUGAGGAAGGUGGCUUGAGAUUCGUCUUAAGUGUUUAUAGCCUCUUGCCUAUGCAGUCGGAGAGAUUGAGGUCUGCAGCGUAGAUCCUUCGGGGCUAAAUGCAUUUGUGCUAAGUUAUAGCAUUUCAUAGACAACUUGUUGACUAUGAUUUGUCUUGUAGCUUACUCGCUUAUGUUAUUUUACCUACGCUUAGGAUGUUGACGAGACUGUCGAUCUC